AUUGAACGCUGGCGGCAGGCCUAACACAUGCAAGUCGAGCGAGCGGCGGACGGGUGAGUAAUGUCUGGGAAACUGCCUGAUGGAGGGGGAUAACUACUGGCAACGGUAGCUAAUACCGCAUACCAUCAGAUGUGCCCAGAUGGGAUUAGCUAGUAGGUGGGGUAAUGGCUCACCUAGGCGACGAUCCCUAGCUGGUCUGAGAGGAUGACCAGCCAGUCUGGAACUGAGACACGGUCCAGACUCCAAAGGGAGGCAGCAGUGGGGAAUAUUGAACAAUGGGCGCAAGCCGGAUUGAGCCAUGCCGCGUGUAUGAAGAAGGCCUUCGGGUUGUAAAGUACUUUCAGCGGGGAGGCGUUACCCGCAGAAGAAGCACCGGCUAACUCCGUGCCAGCAGCCGCGGUAAUUC
rnacentral:rRNA from 1 species